AUUUUCUAACACUGCGCGGCUCUCCUUUUUUGUUCUGUUUUUCCUCAUGUACCUAAUUUUUACAGGUGACUUGCACAACAUAAUGACUAUUUUAGUCCCUCUGCCCCUCCAGAUUUUGGUAAUUGAUCUCAGAGAAAUACUUGAAUCACUCCCCAGAAAAGGAAGCCUCAAUUUUACAGGUUCUCCAUAGAUUACCAGCAGAGGAGAGAGACUGAUGGGUGGCAUGAUGCAUGGACAAGUUCUGAAACAACUGUCCUGUGGAGCCAUGAUUGUAUUUGUAUGCAGGUACAUGUCAAUAAGCUGUGGCAGAAGUGAUUUAUGGAAGAUCUCACAGAUAAACUGAUAAAGAACGUUAAUCUUCCUGGAUGUUAUGUCCAGGCGAAGAAUCCUGGCUUUCCUCUAACCUUGUGUCCGUGACAGACAACAGCUAUACAUUGGGUGGGACACAAUUCAUGAAAGAGCACAGAAGGUUUAUGUUUAAAAAAAAAGGAAGAGAAGUUGUCAUUAAUUUUUAACAGCAAAAGUCUGCAGUUAGUUGAAAAGGAAACGCAAAAGAGCUGAUUAUUCUUGAGAUCAAAAUAUUGGAGCUGUUUUGUCAAGAAAGGCAAAUGCAGAGAAAAUAAGUUUACCACAGCCAUUUCCAGC